rnacentral:rRNA from 1 species
GGGAUAACUACUGGAAACGGUAGCUAAUACCGCAUAACGUCGCAAGACCAAAGAGGGGGACCUUCGGGCCUCUUGCCAUCGGAUGUGCCCAGAUGGGAUUAGCUAGUAGGCGGGGUAACGGCCCACCUAGGCGACGAUCCCUAGCUGGUCUGAGAGGAUGACCAGCCACACUGGAACUGAGACACGGUCCAGACUCCUACGGGAGGCAGCAGUGGGGAAUAUUGCACAAUGGGCGCAAGCCUGAUGCAGCCAUGCCGCGUGUGUGAAGAAGGCCUUCGGGUUGUAAAGCACUUUCAGCGGGGAGGAAGGCGGUACGGUUAAUAACCGUGCUGAUUGACGUUACCCGCAGAAGAAGCACCGGCUAACUCCGUGCCAGCAGCCGCGGUAAUACGGAGGGUGCAAGCGUUAAUCGGAAUUACUGGGCGUAAAGCGCACGCAGG